GACAGGAGUUCACAAUGAUUCACGACAAUACCGGUACUUCAGCAUCCCCAAACAAGACGACAACAAUGUGUCCUUCACUUCGGUACCAAAGAUUCUUCGAGCAUAAUGGAACUUCUGCGGUUCAUGCAAGGUCCGCCGAUCUCUUACCAUUGCUGCCGCGGGAAAGGGAGAGCGCGAGAACUGGCAACGGCCACUGAAAAAUUAAAGAGCACCGACUGUACUGCCGGUGGCGCUGCUCAUGUUUGUUCAGACUGGUUUCUGGUGAGAUCAUGAGAACACAAGAUGGCAUGUAUGUGUAAGGACACACAUCGUAAAUAUCGUAGCUGCAAACAAACAUAUGCUUAAUCUGAACCUUUUGAGGCUUUUCACUAGCAUAUUUCAUAUAAUAAUUAAAAUCGUUUCAAUAUGUUCCUUCUCUAUCCCAUCGGAUUUCAAAAUUGAAGAUUUCAGUGUUCAAAUAUCAUGUCUCUUUAUGUAUCAGCUAUUCGUAUGAUUGCAUCACAUGGCACAGUAGUAAACUCUGACU